AUUGAACGCUGGCGGCAUGCUUUACACAUGCAAGUCGAACGGUAACAGGCCGCAAGGUGCUGACGAGUGGCGAACGGGUGAGUAAUGCAUCGGAACGUGCCCAGUCGUGGGGGAUAACGCAGCGAAAGCUGCGCUAAUACCGCAUACGAUCUAUGGAUGAAAGCGGGGGACCGUAAGGCCUCGCGCGAUUGGAGCGGCCGAUGUCAGAUUAGGUAGUUGGUGGGGUAAAGGACCACCAAGCCAACGAUCUGUAGCUGGUCUGAGAGGACGACCAGACACCCUGGGACUGAGACACGGCCCAGACUCCUACGGGGGGCAGCAGUGGGGAAUUUUGGACAAUGGGCGCAAGCCUGAUCCAGCCAUGCCGCGUGUCUGAAGAAGGCCUUCGGGUUGUAAAGGACUUUUGUCCGGGAGCAAAUACCCAGUGCUAAUAACGCUGGGGGCUGAGAGUACCGGAAGAAUAAGCACCGGCUAACACGUGCCAGCAGCCGCCGUAACAC
rnacentral:rRNA from 1 species